UGAUUCUAAGGCAAUUUUUACCGGA
rnacentral:piRNA from 2 species